rnacentral:rRNA from 1 species
GAUGAACGCUGGCGGCGUGCCUAAUACAUGCAAGUCGAGCGAACAGACGAGGAGCUUGCUCCUCUGACUUUAGCGGCGGACGGGUGAGUAACACGUGGAUAACCUACCUAUAAGACUGGGAUAACUUCGGGAAACCGGAGCUAAUACCGGAUAACAUGUUGAACCGCAUGGUUCAACAGUGAAAGACGGUCUUGCUGUCACCUAUAGAUGGAUCCGCGCCGCAUUAGCUAGUUGGUAAGGUAACGGCUUACCAAGGCAACGAUGCGUAGCCGACCUGAGAGGGUGAUCGGCCACAUUGGAACUGAGACACGGUCCAGACUCCUACGGGAGGCAGCAGUGGGGAAUCUUCCGCAAUGGGCGAAAGUCUGACGGAGCAACGCCGCGUGAGUGAAGAAGGUCUUCGGAUCGUAAAACUCUGUUGUUAGGGAAGAACAAAUGUGUAAGUAACUAUGCACGUCUUGACGGUACCUAAUCAGAAAGCCACGGCUAACUACGUG